CCCUUAGAUGUUCUGGGCCGCACGCGUGCUACACUGAGUGGAUCAGCGGGUCAGGUUGCGCGAAAGCGUUUCCUAAUCUUUAAAUCCGCUCGUGAUGGGGAUUGACGGUUGCAAUUUUCUGUCAUGAACGAGGAAUUCCUAGUAAGCGCAAGUCAUCAACUUGCGUUGAUUACGUCCCUGCCCUUUGUACACACCGCCCGUCGCUACUGCCAACUGAGAUGGGUCCUGAAUUGUUAGGAACGCCCGUCAAGGGGCCUACCCGGUCCCUAGUGCGGUGACGAGAAUAACUGUAAAUGGCAUAUCUUGUAGGGAGUAAAAGUCGUAACA
rnacentral:rRNA from 1 species